AGCAGCCGCGGUAAUUCCAGCUCCAAUAGCGUAUAUUAAAGUUGUUGCAGUUAAAAAGCUCGUAGUUGAAUUUCGGGAUUGACCCAUCGGUCGUGCCUUAAGGGGUAUGAACUGGUGUAGUCAAUUUCUCACCUUCUGGAGAACCGUGAUGUCCUUAAUUGGGUGCCACGAGGAACCAGGACCUUUACUUUGAAAAAAUUAGAGUGUUUAAAGCAGGCAUUUUUGCUUGAAUACAUUAGCAUGGAAUAAUAAAAUAAGGCGGCAUGAUUCUAUUUUGUUGGUUUCUAGGAUCACCGUAAUGAUUAAUAGGGAUAGUUGGGGGCAUUAGUAUUCAAUUGUCAGAGGUGAAAUUCUUGGAUUUAUUGAAGACUAACUACUGCGAAAGCAUUUGCCAAGGAUGUUUUCAUUAAUCAAGAACGAAAGUUAGGGGAUCGAAGACGAUCAGAUACCGUCGUAGUCUUAACCAUAAACUAUGCCGACUAGGGAUCGGAGAUGUCAAAUUUUUAAUGACUCAUUCGGC
rnacentral:rRNA from 1 species